rnacentral:rRNA from 1 species
GACGAACGCUGGCGGCGUGCUUAACACAUGCAAGUCGAACGGAAAGGCCCUGCUUUUGUGGGGUGCUCGAGUGGCGAACGGGUGAGUAACACGUGAGUAACCUGCCCUUGACUUUGGGAUAACUUCAGGAAACUGGGGCUAAUACCGGAUAGGAGCUCCUGCUGCAUGGUGGGGGUUGGAAAGUUUCGGCGGUUGGGGAUGGACUCGCGGCGUAUCAGCUUGUUGGUGGGGUAGUGGCUUACCAAGGCUUUGACGGGUAGCAGGCCUGAGAGGGUGACCGGACAAACUGGGACGGGGAUGAGACCCGGACUCGUACGCGAGGGAGCGGUGCGGAGUAGAGUAUAAGGGGCGGAAGCAAAACGCAGCAAAGCAGCGCGGGGGGUGACAGCAAGGGGGUAGUAUUCCACAGCCGCCUGUGACGAAGCGUGAGUGACGGUAAUGGGUGAAGAAGCACCGGCUAACUACGUG